UGUUUUACCCCAGCACAUUUCAGCCUCAAGACUGCCCUCUGGCCUCCUUCUCUUCCUUAGUCAGGCCUUCUCCUAUCCUCAGAUUUUUAUUUUGAAUAAGUACUUUUAAUUUUUGAAAUUUUAUUUAAUAAAUAUACAUACCCACAGCCAGGGAUCUGCAACCUCUCUUUCCAGGCAGCAGUAGGACCUGCACAUACUCGCUCCUGGUUGGUGUUUGCUCUGAAGGACAGACAUCAGCAGCCCUUCUUUUCCUCACCUUUGCAAUGAGUCUAGAUACACUGCAGAAUGCCUCCAGAAUGUGUGGUAAAUGUGCUGCCCAUCACAGCUUGAGAGAAGCAUACUCUGUGCCGAUGUACAACAACUUCGUAGGGCUCUGGGAAUUGCAAACCUUGGUCUUUCUCAGAGCGCUGAUGUCCCUUACUCAAAUUUUGCAGGAUUCAUACAAAUGGAAAUUGAAUGUUAAUUAAAAUAAAUGAGGCCACCGCAAAUUGUAGCACACUGCUUUUAGCAGCCCUGAAAGAAAAUUCAUGUACUCACAUUCAAAGACUGGUAUUUGAAAGGACUGUAUAUAGAUCUGCCACUCAUAACCAACACAUGAAUGAGAUAGAGCAACAGUUUCAAAAAUCAGGACCUGCAAGCACUCUACCUCUGAAUCAGUUCAAGAUAAUUGGACACCUGCUGUGGGUGCCAUGAAAAACAUUUUCAGAAUGGUAUCAGGCAAGUUGGCAACAGCAAGCUACCUGGCAUGUUCCAUGGUCCAAGCCUGCCUGCAAACAGGUGCUACAGACCAGAGAGGAUGGAGCAGGUGCAGAGGCAUGGAGCAGGUUAGGGAGGCAGAACAGUAAUGGAAGGAGGGGAGACAAAACAAGGUGCUGAGCUGAGGGUGUGAAAAACAGGAAGUUGAAGAGAGGAAGAUGAAGGAAAGGUAGGAAGUCUUGGGUAAGGACAAUAUGCAUCUUUAGUGGAGAAUGUAGAACCCCUAAAUCCUGGCAGGGGCCAGAGCUGUGGGAAGUCUUCCUUGGUGGAAAUACAUGCUCUGCACAUCACCCUGUGUUCCAGUCCUUCCAACCUCUUACAAAAUGGGGUCCAGCAGUAGCUCAAAGAUGAGAUUCAGAUCUUGAUUUGAAUUUGAUCCCACCACCCCCAAACACUGAGCAAUAAACUAGAAGUACAAAAAAAAGUGAAAUAUGAAAAACCAAAAAAAAGGGAGAAAUGCAAAGUUGACUAAAGAGGAAAGGGGAAUUACAACUGAUGUGCCCUGGAUUCUGUAUGAAUUUCUUUUUGCUCUCUUGGUUAAGUAUUUCCAGAUCAUGUACCUAGCUAUCCUUUUGCCAGCAUUUAGUAAUUGUCCACGAGUCAAUACCAAGUGCAUCUUUCUAACCUCCCACACUUUUGGGGUCAAAGAGAGCUUUCUCUAGCUCCUGCCAGCUUUAACAGGUGUUGCCCAAUUUUUUCUAGGAAAAGGCUUCAGUCUGCUGUAAAACAGGUCUUGCACUGGUUUGGGAUUCUGUCUGCCCCACUGAGGCUUGUGUGCAUGAAUAAGUGCAGUGCAUCUGGUACACUUAUAACUGCUGAGCUCACAUUCAGGGCCAUCUUUUAUCUCAUUAGAGACAGACAGAAUCUUUUAGCAUUUAAAAUUUCAGUGUUUUCUAGAAGACUUUUUGCUUCAUCCAUAAAAUUAAUAUCCUGGCUUUACGUGCCAGACUGGCUUAUAGAAGAGGGAACAGGGUCUAGCAAUACUGUUCCAGCAAUUAGAGGGUUCCUAGUUUUUCACUGAUCAUCUAUUUUUCCUAUGAUUAUUCCGCUAUUAACCUUGUUAUGAUACCAGAUUAAUUUUAUAAAUAUGCAGCUAGAGGUGACCCAUCCAGCCUGAACGUUUGUGUGUAUGUUUGUGUGUUUAUCUUUGCCUCUGUGUGUGAGGCGUUUCCAAGGAAUCCAAACCUGGCUCCAAAUCCAAAGUCCUCAGAUGAUUCCUGUCACUGCAGAAGGCUAAAACAAAACAGCUGAGCACAACUUUGAAGACAUUUAGAUUCUAAAUCCUUGUCCAAAUGAUUUGAAUUCCUCUCCUUCUCCCAUCCCUUUAAUCUAGGUUAAAGAUAAGAUCUUGAGAGCACGGGAAAAAGAAAAGAGAAUAUCAACAGUUGAUAUUAAUUGCCCUCUAUCAAUCCCUGAAGAGUUCUCAAAAUAUUUAGACAAUCUAAUGUAUCAACAUUAAUAAACAAAAAGUGAGAAAGAAAAAAAGUUGUAAUUACAGCAGAGUUUGAACAUCACAUCUGAUAAGUAACAAAGACGUCUAAAUAGAACAGAUAAAAAAGGUGAAACAGAAAGCAUAGUAAAGAAAAAAAAAAAAAUCAAAGCAUUGUCCUCAGUGCUAUAGAGGUCACAUGAAUUAAACGACUCUCAUGUCUUUCCAGAAAGAAAACAUCAUUAAAAGCCUGGAAGAACUGAGUUCUGAAUUAAAUCUGUAUCAACAUUCAAAGCACUUCCCCCUCUCUUCCAUCCAGCAUUUUUCCUAAGGCCUCCUGUUUGACCCAUAAUAACCAUGUAAUUGUCAUAAACAAAAAAUAAACUUCUGACCAUUAAUGGAAGAUUAAAAUUGUGUAAGAAGUAGCAUGGAUUAACCAAGUCUUAAACUAAGAGUACAUUCCAGGUCUGAAAGAAGCUCUAUAAAUACGAAUAUAUGGAAUUUAUUGAUUUAAUUAUUACCAUUAUACACUGUGUUUGCUAGUCAGUUAUAUUUAUUGUCAGUAACUAACAGAUUUAUUUGCUUUAAAGGUAAAAUAAUUGUUAAUUCUUUAUGAUAGUUCUACAAAGUAGUGAAACCCAAAUUAUUACCAACAAGAACACAGUGCAAUUUGCAAAAGCUUACCCCACCUUUUCAGAAAAUAUAGUUCACCAUAUGUGAUUAGUCUCUUACUGGUCUUGAAUGGACAGGUAUCUUAAAACCACCUUUAUUCUGUCCGUACAGGGCACUGGGGCCACACAAGGCACUGGGGCAAGCAGCUGUUCAACAUCCUCUGCCCAGCACUCCUCCCUUCCACUGGAACUUUCUCACCUUCUUUCUUACUGUGUUACAUCUGUUGAUCUUCUCCUUCAUCAGUCAUUUCUAACAAAAUGAAUGAGUGGCAUUUAAUAUACUUCACUCUAGGGUAGCAAGUAUGUUUUUUCUGGUUUUGCUUGAAUUUACUUAUAAGAAGCUAUAUAUUUCAGUGCAACCCUACAGUAUUUUCAUUAAAAUGAAACACUGGGGGCAUUUCCAUUGAGAUGGAGGAUAUGUCACAAAGACUGUUUCUCAUGUGGUUCUUCAGUGACAUAUAUUUUUUCCUGUAAAAAAAUAAAGACUACAAAGAAAAACAAAAACCCAAACCACAACUCAACAAAGGGAAUUGGCCUGGGGAAAAUGCCACUGAGAUACUGUUAAGAAGGCUGACUUAAAGCCAAGCAGCAUAGGCACAGCGAAUGCCUCAGUCCACCCAUUGUGCUUACAGCCACAGGGGGCUGAGAAGAAUGCCCAAUAAGAUUUUAGCAAAAGUGUGGUAAAAAUAUUCUGGUAUAGCUGCCUUUGUUUCAGAAAUCAGAAACCUUAGUUUUCAAUUUAACCUAUACUAUCCUACUGUAACAUAGAUUUUUAUUUCUAUGUUAACACUGCAUUAUUAUGCAUUUAAAGAAGAGCUGUGAAAAGAGUACAGCCUGCCCCGUAGUGUACAGCAACAAUAGCUUUAACCCAGGUGCCACUCUUAUUCCAGUGACUGUGAUGGGCUGCUAAUAAGGAGUUCACAGCUGCAGAGGUUAUGGCCAUGGUGCAUUUGCUACCUGGUGCCUUCCCCAGAAAGCAGUCUAGGAAAAGUUAUUUCAGUCUAGUCUAAUUUCGAGCAAUUUUUUGACUUUUGGAAAGUGAGAAAUUCUGCUUUUCAGGCAGACUUACCCCAGGACUGCGAAGACCACCUCUAAACCAUGUCACUAAGGCCCUCAUCUACACAAUUUUUGAACACUUCUAAGGGACAGUGAUUCCACCACUUCCCUGGGAAGCCUAUUCCAAUGCCUGACCACCCAUUCAAUGAAGAAAUUCUUCCUAAUAUCCAAUCUGCAUCUCUCCUGGGGCAGGUUGAGGUCAUUUCCUCUUGUCCUAUCACUUGUUCCUUGGGACAAGAGAGCAGCCACCUUCUAGCUCCAUCCUCCUUUCAGGCAGUUGUAGGGAGCAAUAACGUCCUCCCUGAGCCUUCUCUUCUUCAGACUAAG